rnacentral:rRNA from 1 species
UUGUCCUACGGGGCGCAGCAGUAGGGAAUCUUUCACAAUGGGCGAAAGCCUGAUGGAGCAACGCCGCGUGCAGGAUGAAGGCCUUCGGGUUGUAAACUGCUUUUAUAAGCGAGAAAUAUGAUGGUAACUUAUGAAUAAGGAUCGGCUAACUACGUGCCAGCAGCCGCGGUCAUACGUAGGGGGCAAGCGUUAUCCGGAUUUACUGGGUGUAAAGGGGGCGCAGACGGCGAUGCAAGCCAGGAGUGAAAGCCCGGGGCCCAACCCCGGGACUGCUCUUGGAACUGCGUGGCUGGAGUGCAGGAGGG